rnacentral:rRNA from 1 species
AUUGAACGCUGGCGGCAUGCCUUACACAUGCAUGUCGAACGGCAGCACGGGGCAGCCUGGUGGCGAGUGGCGAACGGGUGAGUAAUGCAUCGGAACGUACCUUUCAGUGGGGGAUAACGUAGCGAAAGUUACGCUAAUACCGCAUAUUCUGUGAGCAGGAAAGCAGGGGAUCGCAAGACCUUGCGCUGAUUGAGCGGCCGAUGUCAGAUUAGCUAGUUGGUGAGGUAAAGGCUCACCAAGGCGACGAUCUGUAGCGGGUCUGAGAGGAUGAUCCGCCACACUGGAACUGAGACACGGUCCAGACUCCUACGGGAGGCAGCAGUGGGGAAUUUUGGACAAUGGGGGCAACCCUGAUCCAGCCAUGCCGCGUGAGUGAAGAAGGCCUUCGGGUUGUAAAGCUCUUUCGGCCGGGAAGAAAUCGCACGGGCUAAUACCCUGUGUGGAUGACGGUACCGGAAUAAGAAGCACCGGCUAACUACGUGCCAGCCGCCGCUGUAA